GCCGGUGACCAUGGCGAGGGGGACCCACCCGUUCCCAUUCCGAACACGGAAGUUAAGCCCCUCAGCGGUGAUGGUACUGCCGGGGCAACCCGGUGGGAGAGUAGCUCGUCGCCGGCA
rnacentral:rRNA from 1 species